ACGGGUGCGGAACACGUGUGCACUGCUUUAUCUGGGGGAUAGCCUUUCGAAAGGAAGAUUAAUACCCCAUAAUAUGUUGAAUGGCAUCAUUCGACAUUGAAAACUCCGGUGGAUAGAGAUGGGCACGCGCAAGAUUAGAUAGUUGGUGAGGUAACGGCUCACCAAGUCUACGAUCUUUAGGGGGCCUGAGAGGGUGAUCCCCCACACUGGUACUGAGACACGGACCAGACUCCUACGGGAGGCAGCAGUGAGGAAUAUUGGACAAUGGGUGAGAGCCUGAUCCAGCCAUCCCGCGUGAAGGACGACUGCCCUAUGGGUUGUAAACUUCUUUUGUAUAGGGAUAAACCUACCCUCGUGAGGGUAGCUGAAGGUACUAUACGAAUAAGCACCGGUAACUCCGUGCCACAGCGGGUAAUACGGAGGUGCACGUAUCCGGAUUUGGGUUUAAAGGGUCCGUAGGCGGAUCUGUAAGUCAGUGGGUGAAAUCUCACAGGUUUUAAUUGUGAAACUGGCCAUUGAUAACUGGCAGGUCCUGGAGUGUGGUGAAAGUANCUGGGGAAUAAAGUUAGUGAGCGGGGAACAUGGCUUAAGAUAUUCAGU
rnacentral:rRNA from 1 species